rnacentral:rRNA from 1 species
UGGGGAAUAUUGCACAAUGGGCGCAAGCCUGAUGCAGCCAUGCCGCGUGUGUGAAGAAGGCCUUCGGGUUGUAAAGCACUUUCAGCGGGGAGGAAGGCGUUAAGGUUAAUAACCUUGGCGAUUGACGUUACCCGCAGAAGAAGCACCGGCUAACUCCGUGCCAGCAGCCGCGGUAAUACGGAGGGUGCAAGCGUUAAUCGGAAUUACUGGGCGUAAAGCGCACGCAGACGGUCUGUCAAGUCGGAUGUGAAAUCCCCGGGCUCAACCUGGGAACUGCAUUCGAAACUGGCAGGCUAGAGUCUUGUAGAGGGGGGUAGAAUUCCAGGUGUAGCGGUGAAAUGCGUAGAGAUCUGGAGGAAUACCGGUGGCGAAGGCGGCCCCCUGGACAAAGACUGACGCUCAGGUGCGAAAGCGUGGGGAGCAAACAGG